rnacentral:rRNA from 1 species
UACGUAGGGACCAAGCGUUGUUCGGAUUUACUGGGCGUAAAGGGCGCGUAGGCGGCGUGUUAAGUCAGCUGUGAAAUCUCCAAGCUUAACUUGGAACGGCCAAGUGAUACUGCAGUGCUAGAGUGUGGAAGGGGCAAUCGGAAUUCUUGGUGUAGCGGUGAAAUGCGUAGAUAUCAAGAGGAACACCUGAGGUGAAGACGGGUUGCUGGGCCAACACUGACGCUGAGGCGACGAAAGCCAGGGGAGCAAACGGG